rnacentral:rRNA from 1 species
GCGUCUCGCCAGCGCGGCACCCAAUAAACCCUGGGUAUGCGCAGGUCAAACAUCCCGGAUGCCACCGUUAAAGAGGUCCGGCCGUUCCGUUGUGACCCCGUAACGACUGAGCGCGCAGAAGUGUGCGUAAUGAGAUGGCCACGCGGCUAGCUCGAGAUCCCGCAAGGGACACAUCGCGUUCCGACGCGAUGCGACAUGGGCGCAAGCCCGCUCGGGUGUGCCACACAAGAAACGCGGCCAUCAUACGCCGACCCCACGAGUGCUCGUGGGUGAAGACAUAGUCUAACUCCGGGCGUAAGCCUGGGUAUAGUUGCGAUGUCGGCUCUUCCCAUCCUGGUCCUGCAGCAGGGGCCAAGGGUGGGGCUGCUCGCCCAUCAAAGGGGAACGUGAGCUGGGUUUAGACCGUCGUGAGACAGGUCGGCCUCUACCUGAUGGAAGCGGUGGUUCACUGAGGGGAAGCCCUGCCCAGUACGAGAGGAACAGCGGGGCGUUGCCUCUGGCGUACCGGUCGUCCGAGAGGGCGUCGCCGGGCAGCUAAGCAAUUGUGGAUAACCGCUGAAAGCAUCUAAGCGGGAAGCCACUCCCGAGAAGAGUGAGCCUUACGCCUUAACCUCUGGCGCAAGCUGGAGGAGCGGGCGUUGGAGCGCAGCGAUAGAAGAUCGCGUUGAAGGACCAGCGGUGUACGCUAGAAGCUUCGGCGACUAGUUCAGCCGGUCUGGCACCUAUAGCGCAACGCAGGAUGAGG